GGAGGCUUUGAAAGGCCUUAGCCGGGAUGACCUGAGGGAUCUUUUUCCCGGCCCCGAGAAUUUCCUCAAAAGAAAGAAACUUUGGAAUUUCAUCAGUGAAAAUGUAAACACAAAUUGGAAUGAGUAAAAAUUAGUAAAGUAUGAAUUUGAAUGGUUCUAAUGCACUUUGUUUUCAUUCUACACAAUCCAAAUGGUGUGAAAAUACCACAGACCAAGAUGCCAACCAUUGUGCCAUGCCACCAUGCUAGCCUCAAACCUCAACCCCCAUAUCUGCUGAGAAAAUAAUGAAAAUGCCAGACCCUCCAGAGUAUGUGGUGUACACAGAUUCUGAGUUAGACAUGGUGCGUAGUCAAUACUUUGCACUGCUCUGCAAUGGAAAGUAAAAAAAAUACAAAAUGUCCAAGGAGCUAUGUUGCAGACUUGUAAGGAACACAAUAACCAGUAUGGUUGCUAUCCUGCAUGCUAGUCCCAUGGGGAAAGAAGCCAGAUACCCGUCAGAAUUGGAAAUGAGAGCCAUGUCACAGAAGAUUAUAGACUAUUACCCAAUGUUACAGGAUGAUGUUCCAAACAUGCCAUAUUUAAAUAUUAUUUUUUUAUCUAAACCAAAACUGUGGGCAGGUCAGCAACAAGACAAACAGCGUAUCUAACAUUCUUUUACCACAGCUGACCAUCUACACCAAAAUGUACAAGCGACUCCAAAAUAUGAGAUUCCCACGGAAGAGGCAAGGCUCUGUACCACAAAGAGGAGUGGCAAAGACGGCUCUCUUCAGUGCAGACAACCAAGACAUGGAGACGGAUUGGACAGACACAAGCAACUCGAGUGAUAAUACCGUACUUCUUUAGAGCAAUGACCUGACAGAGGACAAUUCCAGUGCAGGUGUGCAAAUUCAUCCCCAGUACAACGACCCCCAAGGAAGCCAAAGACCAAAACCUUGCUGCUGUCAUCCGCAUCAGCUUCAGGCUCCUCACUCAGGACUGUGAUCACUUCACCAACCACACCUGCAAAGGAUGAUGUUGACGGCCAGGACAGUCUGAAGAUGCAGGCUAGGCACUACAAAACCUUGAGCAACAUGUACAAUAAGCCAAAUGCAAAACCCAUUCACAGCGAUGUUGCUCAAGUUUUAGACCUUGAGUUUAAGGCCAGACGGGCUUUCAUUAAUGCAGAUGUUACAAGGGAAGAAGACCGACCUGCAAAAAUCUUUGAGGCAUAUUCAUGCUUUAGAGAUGUUCGAAAUGUAUGUUUGUUUGUUUUUAUUUUUUAUAACUACUUGCACUUGAAUUACUGUCUAUCCAUCUGUGUUCUAAAUGUCCAAUGGUUGAAUAACUGUGCACAAUGCUGUCUAAGGCAAUGGAUGAGCUGCGGUGCAUAGUAGGUGGCACCAACAGCAGAUACAUCGAGGAAGUGAAAGGAAGAUGGGCAGACUUUUGUGCCAAGGUGCAGUUCUAUGAUGUGUGGAAGAAAGCCCUGGACAUCCAUUGGAUGUCCGUGGAGUGGAGUUCACGCUUGCCCUCUUCAAUGCACUCCCAUCCCUUUUCCCCUCACCAACUUCACCACCAAAGAAGCUUGGAAAUAGCUGUGAGGCACUUCUUCAUGUCCUGAAGGUAAAAACAUUUUUGUGUGUUGAUUCCUUACUGUCCUCUUAUUUUCUCACAUUGUUGUGCAUGUCACAUAACAAUACACCCUAAUUUCACAAUCACAGAUAUGACCUAAUUUUUGCAAAAAGGGGAAGACAUAAGUGCCUCUAGUGUCCCUCAAAUGGUGUUCACAGAAAGGAAUACCAAGAAAUGUUUCAAAAUCUUUGA